UACGUAGGUGGCAAGCGUUGUCCGGAAUUAUUGGGCGUAAAGCGCGCGCAGGCGGUCCUUUAAGUCUGAUGUGAAAGCCCACGGCUCAACCGUGGAGGGUCAUUGGAAACUGGGGGACUUGAGUACAGAAGAGAAGAGUGGAAUUCCACGUGUAGCGGUGAAAUGCGUAGAGAUGUGGAGGAACACCAGUGGCGAAGGCGAUUCUUUGGUCUGUAACUGACGCUGAGGCGCGAAAGCGUGGGGAGCAAACAGG
rnacentral:rRNA from 1 species